rnacentral:rRNA from 1 species
UUUAAAACACACACUAACGUCUGAUCUCAGAAACUAUGCAGGGUCGGGCCUGGUGAGUACUUGGACGGGAGACCACCUGGGAAUACUGCAUGCUGUAGAC